rnacentral:rRNA from 1 species
UACAGAGGGUGCGAGCGUUGUUCGGAAUUACUGGGCGUAAAGCGCGCGCAGGCGGCUUUUUAAGUCCGACGGUGAAAUGCCGGGGCUCAACCCCGUGCCCGCCGCGGAUACUGGGAAGUUGGAGACGAGUAGAGGCAAGCGGAAUUCCGGGUGUAGCGGUGGAAUGCGUAGAGAUCCGGAAGAACACCGGAGGCGAAGGCGGCUUGCUGGGCUCGGUCUGACGCUGAGGCGCGAAAGCGUGGGGAGCGAACAGG